CGUCAAAAUGAAGCGCCAUGCGACUGCUGAUCUAUUGAAAAAAAAAAAAAAAAAGUCACGAGUUCAUCGGAAUAAAGUUUUCGGAGACUCAUUUUUGUUCUACUCAAAGUUUAUAUAGCUACAGUUGGCAGAAACUUUCUAUGGUCAUGUACGUUUCUUUGCUGUGGUUUCUUUUGUUUGGUUUAUGUCCUAUCUCUGUUCCUGAUUCCAUACCUAUUGGUAUGUUCAGGACAGAGUGCCAUGAUCGUCAUUUCUGGUUGUCUGUCAACUCAAAUUUCCUGGGCCACAAAUUUAGGUUCAAUGUUCAAGCAGACUCUAAGGUCCAUGAGGUUUCUGGUCAGUGGGCAGCAGAGUGUGGUUAUACUAUGGCUCUUGACUCCUGGGGUGACCUGCUGCUGCGUGUUUCCUAUCUUGCCUGUCUGGUGGAGAACCAGAGGGAGACUGAAUUUCAGUUGCUGGUGUGGUUUAUAAAUCAGGACUCAAAUGGGAAGGAAAAAUCCUAUCCUUUACUUCUCACCUGCCCUCUCCAGGUCCCAUGGGCACCUCGGGAGCUUGUCUGUGAGCAGAACUACAUGGAGGUGUCUGUGCUGAAACUGCUGCCUCCUGAUAAUCACAUAGGCACAGCAUGGGUAACACCAGCCCCUGUGGAGUUGGGAGAGGGUCUGUUGGAAUGGAGGGUGGUGUUCCGUAUACCAGCAUUCAGUCAGGGGGGUGGCAUGAGGGAGGAGACAGUUCCAGUGAGAAUGGCACACUUGCUGGGCUACCACAUUAACACCACUGACUCUCGCAUCCUCCUCCGUUGUGCCUAUGGAUCCAAACUGGCAUACAUGCUACAGUGGGGUGAGACUGAUGUGGAAGUGGUCAGUGCCACCAUCUUGUACAAGCUUAAAUGGACCCUGUUGACUGUCGACAUGUCAGUGGCCUGCACCAUUGGACAAGCCCGAAUGGAUGGUUCUGAUGUAUUGUGGUCUCUCCCUCGUGACCUUCCCACUCUGGUCCAUCCUCCCUUCAUAGAAAAGGUUCUUAAGUUGGGUGUUGGGGGACGGUACCUGUCUGAGUGUGUUGCCCACCAGCGUGGUUACAUGAUUCACGACAACAACAGAACACUGGAGCUACGUAUUCCUUUCGGAGCUGAAGGAGGAUUCAUCAAGAGUCAUGUAAUUGAUGGACUGUACUCUCAGUCAUAUUUUGUGGAUGUGUUCCUGCUGCGUGAAUGGGAGGAUACAGCAUGGAGUCUGACUCAGCAGCGGAUAUUUAGAGCACUUUUUAUUCAACACUUGCCCCGACCAGUCACACUUAUUAACAAGACUGUGCCUUCACAGAGGGAGUUUUCCAUCUCAUUGUGCUGUUUUCCUCAUGAUGUUUCUUUGGGGAAUGUGACUGUAGCAGGUCAGCCAGUGCUUUGGGAGGAAAUGGAAUGGAAAGGAGUUCAUCUCUCUCAAAAUCCUUUUCCCAACAACACCUACAUGUAUCUGUUUCAGAUGCCCUUCUCUAAUUCACUCAUCCCACAAAAGUAUUUGGGAGACAGGUUUAGGAGGUACACUCUUUAUGGGGUCUUCUCCUUCAUUCUGUUUCCUGAUGGAGAAAUCUACAACCAUUCUGCUACUGUUGAGGCAGAGCUGCAGGAUGUCGUCUUGCCAAAGCUUAAAGGGGAGUGUACAGCACGAGGUGUGCAUACAUUGGCAUACUAUGGUAAUAUAGACUCCUCUGAGUGGCGUUUGUAUGUAGGAGGGAUGAGGGUUGACUGGGAGCUGGUGGAGCUUGGGGGAUUCUCUCUGGAUCCCCACGAACUCUACCUUAGCCUGGAAGUUCCACUCUAUGCCCCUGGCAUGGCCUAUGAGGGCUUAGGACUGCAAGGUCUGUUAGUGAGUGUUCUGGUGAGUUUAGUUCAUCUGGAAACAGCAGAAGAACAGACUCAUGUGCAGCGCUGCGUGUUCCCUGUGAGAGAGUUAUUGGUGUGUCUGCCUGAUGGAAGAAUGGUGGUGAUGGUCGACACUGCUGGUGUUUCUCCCCCAGUAAACCCCAAUCACACAGCCCUCCUGGAUCCUGCUUGUAGACCACUGGAGACUGACAAUUCCAGAGCCAUAUUCAGUUUCUCCAUAGACUCUUGUGGCACUGUCGCAACACAUGAUGGUGAUCAGGUGAUUUACAGGAAUGAGGUGAGAAACAUGCCCCCUUUUCCUCCACACCUGAGACCCCUCAGCCAACCUCAACCACAUUAUAGGGUUUCACUUGGCUGUGUCCAUCCAGAAAAUGGAAGUCGCACUCUUGCCAUCUACCUGCCAUCCCAAUCUCCCACACUUCUACCUAUGGAACACGCACACAAAACAGCCUUGCACUCACACACGAGGCAUCCUGAGGGCAGAGUUAAAAAAAUCCACUCACUGCCAGCUGGAGGAUGACACCCUUAAAGACCUGCAAGAGAUUGGAGAAGAGGGCCUUCCUAUCAUGAAUGACAAGAGUCUCACUGAGUUCCCGUGACCCCAGGAAAUGAUCCUUCAGAACACGCAGGGAGCGUAGGUAGGAGGCCUCAGAGUGCGACUGAGUUUAUGUAACACUCCACUUUCCUUCACCACUGUUAAAUCCUGCCAGAGUGUAUUCUCUUCAAGGCCUCUCUUGGAUCGGGUGCCAACCACCCCCAGCCCCCGGGGACCCUCAAGGCCUAGGGUUUCACUAAC